ACCAAGUAUACGAUCUAUAGCUGGUUUUAGAGGAUGAUCAGCAACACUGGGACUGAGACACGCCCCAGACUCCUACGGGAGGCAGCAGUGGGGAAUCUUAGACAAUGGGCGCAAGCCUGAUUAGCCAUGCCGCGUGUGUGAUGAAGGUCUUAGGAUCGUAAAGCACUUUCGCCAGGGAUGAUAAUGACAGUACCU
rnacentral:rRNA from 1 species